CGUCGGUAUGACUGAGAUUCUAUUUACUGCCUGAGUUCCAAAACGGUAACUAAAGUGGAUGGGAAGAUUCGGAGGAAACAAUAAAAAUGGCGGCAAUCUGUUGUAUUCGAGUCUCAACCCAACCUUCUCCUGCAAGUAAUUUAAGGUUUCAAUGCUGGGGUAGUUCAAAGAACAAAAGAAGAGAUACAGCUCCGUAUAUUCUAAAGAUAGCAAUGAGUGGGAUUACAGAAAUUCUUAGAAUUUUCUCUCCAAGCAAUCCAAACAGGACUUACUUACAACAAGGAUUGGAUACUGCUGUGAAUAAUGUAAAGAUAGAUGAAACUUCGGUUUCUGGUAUAGAUGAUGUUGUGUCGAUUCUUCAAUCAGAUUAUGAGAACGCUUAUUUUCUUACAGGGAAUUUUAGUUCAGCAAUUUAUACUGAAGAUUGCAUCUUCGAAGACCCAACUAUUAAGUUCAGUGGUAGAGAUCUCUAUUCGCGCAAUUUGAAAUUGCUUGUGCCGUUUUUCGACUCUCCUUCACUUGUACUACAACAGAUUGAGAAGGAUAUGAGUUCCGAAUUAAGUUAUGUGCUAGCAACAUGGAAAUUAAGAACCUACCUGAGACUUCCAUGGAGGCCUCUGAUUUCUAUAGAAGGAAGUACAGUUUAUGACUUGAAUGAUGAGUUCAAAAUCUUUAGACAUUGCGAGAGUUGGAAUAUCUCUGCUCUAGAAGCUGUUGGCCAAAUAUUCAAUUUUAGCUUUGAAAGCAGUGGUGAAUGAGCACUGGGUGGCUGUACCAAGAGAUCUGGGGUUCAAAUCCUAUUUACACGAGGGUUUUCUUUGUUUAGAGAUCUGGGGUUCAAAUCCUAUUUACACGAGGGUUUUCUUUGUUUUCUUACAUAAGUUGGGUUUUAUUGCCGAGGAAAACUGCUUUCAGGGUUUCAUGAAGAGAGAAAAGUAGGUGCUAAGGAAAGAGCCAUGAAAGUGAAAGUUAAAAAAAGUACAGGUCCAUAAAGAAGUUGUAAGAAAAAGUUUGAUUCUACGAAGACGUGGCGCAUUUCUAUAUGUUGGAUUGAAUGAGAAAACAAAAAUGUAAAAAUGUGGUGUUUUCGGAUGGCUGUUUUUCUUUGUUGUUGUGCUUGGAAGGUUAUGAAGAAUGUUAUGUAACUUGUGUUAAGUGUUUCCUUAACAUAGAAGAGAGAGACUCGAGAGUGCCAGCUACUCAUGCAAAGUUGGAGGGAAGAGCCGUUGGAGCAAAUGCUUCUUCUUUUUCACUUUAGGUUUUUAAUUGAUUGUGUUGCGUUUGUCCUUGUGGUUGGACGAUAACCUCCUCAUACCUAAUUACCAUCAACUUUCUAGAAAAGACUUCUAAUAAGUAGAUUAAAAUGCCACUCCGUGAAGAUGAAUCAUAGAUAUAUAUUUUGUAAAG